UGCGAUCCAGCUAUUCUGUGGGUUGCUUGAUUAAGCAGCAAACAUUGGCUUACUGGAACUUCAGCCUGUUCCUUUAAGUUUAAUGAUGUGAAUGGUAAUGAGAAUCAUAACUGAUAUUUGUACCGUGCUUUGGAUGCUUUGGAGUUUAUAGCACAUUUUCACACUAUUUUGCAAAGUAAGAUGCGAUGGCUCCACGGACAAUUGUCUGGAAAUGCUGCUCUCAUUCAGACACUUGGUAGCACGUUCCUGGGCUGUGGCCACGGAUUUGGCUCUCUGCCUUCCCGGCAUCCUGCACGGCUGGUGGUGCCGUCUUUGAUUUGGAUUGUGUCACGUCACUGAUCAGAAAUCUUCAAGGUCCCACAGUCACCGAUGUAAAUAUAAAGGUCACAUCCCUUAGCCUGCUGUUUAAAAUAUUCCAGAAUCGAGGGGCGCCUGGGUGGUUCAGUUGGUUGAGCGUCCAGCUUCGGCUCAGGUCAUGAUCUUGUGGUUCGUGGGUUCAAGCCCCCAUCGGGCUCUGUGCUGACUGCUCGGAGCCUGGAGCCUGCUUCGGAUUCUGUGUCUCCCUCUCUCUCUCUCUCUCUCUGCCCCUCCUCAACUCCUGCUCUAUGUCUCUCAAAACUAAAUAAACAUUAACAAAAUGUUCAGCACAAAAUCCAUCUGAUGAUCAAACAGAUCUUUCCCUCAUUACCUUCCUACCCCAUAUUGUUUGUGUGAUCCCUAUGUCUGAUUAAAAAAAAACAAACAAAACUGGUUAAUUUUUAAAAAAUUUUUAAAGUUACAUCCAAAUUGUUAGCAUAUAGUGCAAACAAUGAUUUCAGCAGUAGAUUCCUUAGUGCCCCUGACUCAUUUAGCCCGUCCCCCCUCCCACAACCCCUCCAGCAGCCCUCUGUUUGUUCUCUACAUUUAAGAGUCUCUUCUGUUUUGUCCCCCUCCCUGUUUUUAUAUUAUUUUUGCUUCCCUUCCCUUAUGUCCAUCUGUUCUGUGUCUUAAAGUCCUCAUAUGAGUGAAGUCAUAUGAUACUUGUCUUUCUCUAAUUUCGCUUAGCACAAUACCCUCUAGUUCCAUUCACGUAGUUGCAAAUGGCAAGAUUUCAUUCUUUUUGAUUGCCGAGUAAUACUCCAGUGUAUGUAUAUACCACAUCUUCUUUAUCCAUUCAUCCAUCGAUGGACAUUUGAGCUCUUUUCAUACUUUGGCUAUUGUUGAUAGAGCUGCUAUAAAAAUUGGGGUGCUUGUGCCCUUUUGAGACAGCACAUCUGUAUCCCUUGGGUAAAUACCUACUCGUGCAAUUGCUGGGUCAUAGGGUAGUUCUAUUUUUAAUUGCUUGAGGACCCUCCAUGCUGUUUUCCAGAGUGGCUGCACCAGUUUGCAUUCCCACCAGCAGUGCAAAAGGGUUCCUCUUUCUCCACAUCCUCGCCAACAUCUGUUGUUGCCUGAGUUGUUAAUGUUAGCCGUUCUGAUAAGUGUAAGGUGGUAUCUCAUUGUGAUUUUGAUUUGUAUUUCCCUGAUGAUGAGUGAUGUUGAGCAUUUUUUCGUGUGUCGGUUGGCCAUCUGGAUGUCUUUGGAGAAGUGUCUAUUCUUGUCUUUUGCCCAUUUCUUCACUGGAUUAUUUGUUUUUUGGGGUGUUGAGCUUGAUAAGCUCUUUACAGAUUUUGGAUACUAAGCCUUUAUCUGAUAUGUCAUUUGCAAAUAUCUUCUCCCAUUCCAUCGGUUGCCUUUUAGUUUAGCUGAUUGUUUCCUUCGCUGUGCAGAAGCUUUUUAUUUUGAUGAGGUCCCAAUAGUUCAUUUUUGCUUUUGUUUCCCUUGCCUCCGGAGAUGUGUUGAGUAAGAAGUUGCUGUGGCCAAGGUCAAAGAGGUUUUGCCUGCUUUCUCCUCGAGGAUUUUGAUGGCUUCCUGUCUUACGUUUAGGUCUUUCAUCCAUUUUGACUUUAUUUUUGUGUAUGGUAUAAGAAACUGGUCCAAGUUCAUUUUUCUGCACAUCGCUGUCCAGUUUUCCCAGCACCACUUGCCGAAGAGACUGUCUUUUUUCCAUUGGAUAUUCUUUCCUGGUUUGUCAACGAUUAGUUGGCCAGACGUUUGUGGGUCCAUUUCUGGGUUCUCUGUUCUGUUCCACUGAUCUGAGUGUCCGUUUUUGUGCCACAAAACUGGUUAAUUUUAAACAUACCUAAUUUUCCUUACUACCUAGGUAGGUACGGUCUUUGUAAGGAUUCUAGAUGCUACAACAGGUAAAACCCUGAAUCUCAGUAGUUUUAUACGACAAGACUGUAGUUUGCACUCAAUGCGACCUUCCGAUGUGGCUUCCUGGUUAGAAGAAGCCAUUUGUUUCCACAAGGGGUGUGGACACAGAGACAAGUGACAAAUCUGGGUCAUUUUUGUCUCAUUCAACUGCAGUGAGUAUGCUCCACAUCAAGAAACUUAAGAACAAGGAAUGGCCAGCUCCUUGACGUUUUGUAGCUGGGGCUUCCUCUCUGGCUCUUGGGAUCAUUUUUCCUCUGUUCCAAGACGAGCUUUGCUCUAAACUGCAUGGCAGCAAAGCAAAUGGCUGAAAUGAUAACGGGAUGAUAACUCCACUUAAAGCACAAAGUCCUGGAAGUGAAAAGGAACAAGGCUUACACUGUGGCGAUUCAGGUGCUCAGAGGUAGUCUGUGGUUAUUUCUGUCUGCAGACCCUUAAACCCCAUCAUGGAUGGGCACCUGGGUGCCUCAGUUGGUUGAGCGUCCAACUCUUGAUUUUGGCUCUGGUCACGAUCCCAGGGUCGUGGGAUUGGGCCCCGUGUUGGGUUCUGCGCUGAGUGUGGAGCCUGUUUGGAAUUUUCUCUCUCUCUCUGUCCCUCUCUACCCUGCUCGUGUGCAUGCUCUCUCUCUCAAACAAACAAACAAACAAAUAAAUAAAUAAAAAUAUAUAAACCCCAUCAUGGAGAUGGGUGGCUUUCUUCUUGUCAGGCUGUUCUGGUCUGGGCAAGAGUAUCCAAAUUACAACCAUGAUGGGCCCUCCUAGAGACAUCUGGCCCUCUCUCUUGUAGCAACUAGAAUGUAUCCACAGUGCAAUCUUGAUAAUUUACCUCCCACCCAUUACAAAUGCCCUGUGUUACUGGAAAGAACAUUAUCUGUCCAUUCAUUGUCUAGUGGCCCUUCCGAUGCACCUUAAUUCCAAUGCACCUUCCAAUGAACCGCACAAAGGAUUGGGGCUUUUUUAUCUUGAACUGAGGAGAGCUUUAGGGCCAGGCCUGGAACAGGGUUCAGUUCAAUACAACGCAGCAUGCCAACCUUCAAAAAGACCACCAAGGUCGCCUGCUGACAAAGCAACACUGAAUUUAUUACUAAUUGCAGUAAAGGAGUCCCUGGCACCUUGAUAGAGUCUUAAUAGUCUUAGAAGAGAAAAACCCAGGAUGGAUGUUUAUAGGAUUUGGGGGUCUGGGGGACCAUUUGAGUCAUGUAUUAUUCAGAUGCAUGGAUCGUUAGGGUGUUUCUGAAGCAGUCACUAACGUAAUUUGUGACUUCAUCAUCCUGGGAAACAGUAUCCUGGAAUAGGGUCAUGAUAAUGUGGAGGGUCUUUGCUCUUGAUCCUCUCGUGCCGUGGGGUGGCAGGCACGUUGCCCUCUGGCACGUCACGGGCUUAUCGAGCGUUGACCCUGUGCCAAUAAGGGGCAUCCGAGCGGAAGACGGACCGAACAAGUGACCUGGCAGCACUGGUCCACAAAAGAAGAAACCUCUUCAGGUAAGCUGCAUCGAAUUCUAAAGUAGACACCAGUCCCUGAAAACAAAGGUGCCAUACAUGUGACUUGUUAAACUCACAUCGGCUUUGAUACCUCUCAGUUCAACCAAAUGCAGGAUGAGGCAGCAAAUGCCCCCUGGGCACUGGCUCUGCCAGGCACAGGUGCUGGGGACAACGAGCUGAAGAGAACCCGAUUCUCUCCCGCGUGGACACGGCGUGUCAACCCUGCAGCGGAGGCAGGCACAACGUGGCGAGCAUGAGGCCAGAGUGAUGACUUCUGGGGCAGAUCAGGAAGCCUUCCUCCCUGCAGAGGCUGACUGUGCGUCUCAGGAAUCUGGAAAUCGUCGUCAGAUUCCAGUUCAGUUUCGGCUGGCCUUCCAGAGAUGGCCAUGGCCGAGGGUGCCGAGGAGGGGCCACCUUCCACCCUCUGUCCUCCAUGUUGCCCUCUCUCCCGUGCAGCUGGAGAGGCCGAGGACUCCGGGCAGCUGGGAGAGAAGCAGACAGAUGGGGCAGGAGACAGAGUGCUAAAAGACCCAAGGCGGCCAAAACAAUUUCCCAUUUGCUCCAGUAACACUUGAAGGCAGGGUCUCGGUCUCCCAGCCUCUGAGAGCACUGGAUCUGGGAGCCUGCGGACCACCGGCGGACCACAGGCGGACUGUGAAGGUCCGCAGAGCGCAUGCUCCGGACGCCUCUACCUCUUCACCGCUGCAACCCCGAGGCUCGACACUAGGUGGCAGCAAAGCGCCGGCCCAACAGCGUCUGCAGUCUUCUGCGGCAGAACUUGAAAAAAAGUGGGGCCGCAGAUUUUCCUUUCAGAGAAGGACCCACCCAAGCAAGACGAGCAGCUGUGAAGACAGCAAUAGAGAUAACUGAACAGUCGUCAGGACAAAAAUGCCUUCUGAAUAGGAUGGGCAAACAAACCAGACCCCCCCCCCCCCGCCCCCACCGCAACGGGCCAUCGUUUAUGAAACCCCUCCGAGGACGAUACAAUGCAAUUUUGGUCGAUGCUUCGGAGCCGAUCAUUUGAUAUUGGGUGUGGAUAUUCUCUGAGGCCCGUUCUCCCGGCAGUUUGGCACCUAAAAUGUGAAAGUCUCAUGAAAGUUUACUGGCCGCAGAGGAGGUAGUUCUGCACGCUUUGGUGACGUCCGUCAUGGUGACCUCGCGUCGUGGGGCCUCGUGUAGAUCAAUACGUGGAUCCCAGACUGAUGUUAACACGGGGUUUCUUUCUAACUGACAGGGAUUAGCUCGGGAGGAAGAAUCCACCUGCUUUUAAGGCAGAGCCUUCGGGGAGUAGACCACUGGGCCCAUCGCAUGACACAGCCCUGUCCAAGCUGCAUCCCAGAGCAAGGAGAGGGACAAAUGGGGGACCGAGGGGGCGGUGAGAGCAAGCACUUUGCUAGGGUCUGAAACCCCCGAGUCCCGUCUCCCAAAGACCAAAUGGUUCUUAGAAUUUAGUGAACCCGCCCCCAUCAUCCCUGCUCCCCACACCCACCCCUGCUCUUGCUUCAGCAGGGUAUUUUUAGAGGGCCAGCAGAGUUCUUUGAAGAAGCCAGCCCGUUUCAGCUGGGCCUGCUGCGCUUGGAAAAGCAAUCUUCUUGCUGAAGACCAGUGUUUCGGCUUGCCCGAAAGCUAUUCACGUGGCUCCAGGGUGGGCCUGGAAGCUGCGAAAGGGCAGGGAGAGGAAGCAAGAAUCCGAGAGAGAGGGAGAGCUCCUGUCAGAUUACUCUUCCUCUCAUUUGUCGUCACCGAAGCCGCCUACAGUUUCAAGGGCAGUGGAGAGCUGUACGUUUACAGAGGAUGAGACACCCAUCUGGGCGGCGGUGUUGAGGUCCUCACCUUUCAAAGUCUCCCUGCGACCUCAGCGAGACAUAACGUGGCCCGCGUGCACCUUGCGUUCUCUUAAGAGCCUGGGUGAUCGAUGAGAUCUAUCUACUUGCUGUCCCGUCCCGGUCAGUGGACCACUUCACCCACAUAGUGUGCGUUGUAGGCCUCCUCUUUCUGAUAUUUACAUGCUACCUGAAAUCCCUCCUUCCUCAGAAAGCCUUCUUUGCUUAACGAAGGCGAGUUGGGAUCCCACACAUUCAAACUCUACAAUUCUGUUUUCACGUGUGACCUCACCGAAACUGCUUGAUGUCUUUGCUGACAGCGUAAAGCGGUUCCUGGCAAAUUUGCAUAUGAAUGCUAGGUUUGCCCAUAACUGGCGUUUUCCCUGCGUUUCCAGAAUUACUGUGCUGUGUCUCAGAUUUCCGUUUGCCAGAGGGCAUGCAAAUGGGGAGGCAGACAAGAAGACCAUCAAGCAAAUCCAUGUAUAAACUAUAACGUGCAAAAACAUGGCCAUGGCCGCUUUGUCACUUGCAAAGAGAUGUCAAGGACUUUUUAUCUCACUUGACCUUUGCAAAGACUACUAUCCACAUCUUAAUUGGGAAAUUGAGGCUCAGAUAGAUACAGUAGGGCAUUGGUAUGGGGCACUCUUCUAUUCAAGAUCUAUGCCUACCCUGAACUAUACAGCAUAACCUGCUGGUGGGGGGGGGGUGUAUAUCGUCCAUGCACACGCCCAGCAGUUCAGCGAAGGACAGAGGUCUAGAACAUGGCAAGGGGCAGGAGCCUGUUGGGUGAAUAAGGCAGCCCCAUAAUCCCAAGCCCCACCCUACCCAAUGGGCAUAUUCACCCCGAAGGCAGAACUGGAGGGAAUGCGACCGUCUUCCCAGGGCAGUGCAGGUGAGUCUUCAGUCAAAGACAGCUGGGAGCCCUGGUUUCUGGAGAAGGUCGGGUGCUCAUCAGGCACCAAGUUCAGAUGGGGUCUGACUUGUCAAUUUGCAGCUGAUGCCUCAAUGACAUUUGUGGGCUGGCGGCUGCCUCCACGACUGAGGCUGCGCAGGUGGUUGAGGGUGGGUCCCAACUCCUCAGGCCUGGAGCGCUCUGGCUGCCCAAGGCCUGCUGAGGGGUGCCUACUGCUCAUGUCCACGUAGUUCAGGGGAACCGGAGAUAGGGCACAGGGCAAGGUUCAAGGGAGGCCUGGUCACAGGAGCUGUCUUUCGGAGGAACAUGCCAUCUGUCUAAGUGUAAGCCAUAACCUACCCAAUAGUGAACAUUUUCCCUGAAGGCAAUUCCCUGGAGGAAUCUCAAUUGCAACGCAGGGUGGGGGGCGGGUGCUGGGAGGGCUGGCCUGAGUGUCUUCCCGUGACUCAGGGCUGCCCUAGUGCUGGAGAAGCCCCACGUUCCGCCAUGUAUCAAGUCCAAAGGCAGCUCCCGCCUCAAAGAGAUCUGUGCGGUGGAGAGCCUCCUUCCACCCAGAUCCUCUGCAGGCGGUUCGGGACCAGCCUAAGCUCCACAGGCCUGGACGGCCCCGGCAGCCCUGGGCAGACAAGGGGGUGCCUGCUGUGCAGGUGCGAGCUGACACUCAGGUCAGGGGAGCCAGGGACCCAGAAGACAGCAGCUCUUGGGAGAGGCGGGGUCGCAGGAGUGGGCUACUGGGGGCAUCUGGCAUCUAUCACACUCCAAGCCCCAAGUGACACCAAUGCACGUAUUGUCCCUUCAGGGAAAGCUGGAGGAGUCUACACUGCUUGGCAGGCUGCAGGGACAUCUUUUGCAAACAGACACCUGGGAGCCCUGAGGACUGGUAAGCUGGGGGUCCCAGCACACAACCAGUCCCAAUGGUGACCGUCACCCCGUUUAAAGCUGCCGCCUCAGAAUGACUUUUGGGGCCAGGUGUCCUUCUCCCAAGAAACUCAGCAGGCGAUCGUGCACCAGCAGGAGCUGCGUGGACCUGGAGAGCCCCGCUGAGC